rnacentral:rRNA from 1 species
GAGCGCAACCCUUAUCCUUUGUUGCCAGCGAUUCGGUCGGGAACUCAAAGGAGACUGCCGGUGAUAAACCGGAGGAAGGUGGGGAUGACGUCAAGUCAUCAUGGCCCUUACGAGUAGGGCUACACACGUGCUACAAUGGCGCAUACAAAGAGAAGCGACCUCGCGAGAGCAAGCGGACCUCAUAAAGUGCGUCGUAGUCCGGAUCGGAGUCUGCAACUCGACUCCGUGAAGUCGGAAUCGCUAGUAAUCGUGGAUCAGAAUGCCACGGUGAAUACGUUCCCGGGCCUUGUACACACCGCCCGUCACACCAUGGGAGUGGGUUGCAAAAGAAGUAGGUAGCUUAACCUUCGGGAGGGCGCUUACCACUUUGUGAUUCAUGACUGGGGUGAAGUCGUAACAAGGUAACCGUAGGGGAACCUGCGGUUGGAUCACCUCCUUACCUGAA